rnacentral:rRNA from 1 species
GACGUAGGGCGCGAGCGUUGUCCGGAUUUAUUGGGCGUAAAGAGCUCGUAGGCGGCUUGUCGCGUCGACUGUGAAAUCCCGCGGCUCAACUGCGGGUCUGCAGUCGAUACGGGCAGGCUAGAGUUCGGUAGGGGAGACUGGAAUUCCUGGUGUAGCGGUGAAAUGUGCAGAUAUCAGGAGGAACACCGGUGGCGAAGGCGGGUCUCUGGGGCCGAUACUGACGCUGAGGAGCGAAAGCGUGGGGAGCGAACAGG